AAACCACUUCUUGUCCCCUAAGAAAGUAUCCAAAUCUUUUAGCAGCUCGGGGGCCUUGUUGGUGAGGAUGUCAUUAAAAGCUUUCUCCUUCACAUCCUGAUUUUUCUCUGCCCAGGGGAACAGCAUCAUGAAAUCAUCAAUGGUGUCCACAAUGGCAUCAGCCAAUGCCUGCUCCACUGGAGUCUGACCUGCCAGACCUGAUUCUCUGGCGAGGUAUCUCGCAAUUGCUAGGCUCUGGUGAAUGAUCACUCCAUCUACUUCCAGAAUAGGAACUUUGCCAAAUGGGAUAGUUGGUUUAAUUUUGGGCCAGUCUGCUCCUUCCAACCUGUGGUCUUCAUACUUUAUGCCUGCAUAGGCAAACAGGUAGCGGCAGAUUUCUGCUCUUCCUCGCAGAUUGAAGUACGUCAGCUUGUAGUUGGGCAUGCUGGGUCCUUGGGUGCAGCGGUGUGUGAUCCCUUCCUCAGUGC
rnacentral:lncRNA from 1 species